GACGAACGCUGGGCGGCGCGCUUAACACAUGCAAGUCGAGCGAGAACCGGUCCUCGGGACCGGGAAAGGACGGCGAACGGGUGAGUAACACGUGGGUAAUCUGCCCUCGGCACCGGGAUAGCCCGGGGAAACCCGGGAUUAAUACCGGAUAGCCUCUCGAGUCUUCGGACUCGUCAGAAAAGGUAGGCUUCGGCAUCCGGCUGAGGAUGAGCCCGCGGCGGAUUAGCUUGUUGGUGAGGUAAUGGCUCACCAAGGCGACGAUCCGUAGCUGGUCUGAGAGGACGAUCAGCCACACUGGGACUGAGACACGGCCCAGACUCCUACGGGAGGCGGCAGUGGGGAAUCUUGCGCAAUGGGCGAAAGCCUGACGCAGCGACGCCGCGUGCGGGAAGAAGGCC
rnacentral:rRNA from 1 species